CGGGAUGUGGCUCAGCCCGGUAGAGCGCUUGGUUCGGGACCAAGAAGCCGGGGGUUCAAAUCCCCCCAUCCCGA
rnacentral:tRNA from 1 species